CAAUAGCGUAUAUUAAAGUUGUUGCAGUUAGAACGCUCGUAGUCGGAUUUCGGGGCGGGGCGACCGGUCUGCCGAUGGGUAUGCACUGGUCGGCGCGUCCUUCCUUCCGGAGACCGUUCCUACUCUUAACUGAGCGGGGGCGGGAGACGGAUCGUUUACUUUGAAAAAAUCAGAGUGUUUCAAGCAGGCAGCUCGCUCUUGCAUGGAUUAGCAUGGGAUAAUGAAAUAGGACUUUGGUGCUAUUUUGUUGGUUUCGAACACCGAAGUAAUGAUUAAAAGGGACAGUCAGGGGCACUCGUAUUCCGCCGAGAGAGGUGAAAUUCUCAGACCAGCGGAAGACGAACCACUGCGAAAGCAUUUGCCAGGGAUGCUUUCACUGA
rnacentral:rRNA from 1 species